GCUUCUUACAUGACAGUCGGCUCAGCCUAUCAUCGGCCGAGGCGGGACAUCGCUGCGGCCGGUGAUAGGCUGAAGGCUCUGUGACGUCCCAACACCAGGAAGCAGCAAGAACAGCAGAGGGACCAUGAGGCCGGUUCCUUAGCAAUGGGGGAAUGGAGGAUGGAGUUUGUCAACUGAGCAAUUCAAGUGUGUUGUAGAGACAUGUCUAGGUGUCAGCGAUCUCUCACCAAGAGGUUGACCCAGAAGUAUCCUUUGAGAGCCUUUUUAUAGGUUUUGUUUUGCCUUUUUACAGAUUUUAGCCAUGUUGCAAAAUGAAGUGGCAAAGAGCAGAACAAACCUUAACCUUCCAUUGAUUUUUCAAUGUAACUUUCGUGUUGAAGACGUGAACGAGACUGAAGAAUUUAAUAAGUUGCCCUUCUGGGAAAAAAUUAGUGGAGAGGUCUUCAAGUUUAGCAGAAUGGCACUUUUUUUUCUUAACAGUCAAAUGUGUAUUAAGACUAAUUGAUGAAUAAAGUGCAAGUCUUGAAUUGAGUAAGCAUUAUAU